rnacentral:misc_RNA from 1 species
ACACCUCAACUCUCACGGUUUGCCGUGAUGAGCUUGGACUUUGGAGGUUUUUGCUGGCCCACGGUCGGCUCCUCUCAAAUGAAUUAGCUUGCCAGUUUUCGGUGGCAUCACAGGUGUGAUAACUAUCUACGCUUGCGGUUUUCCACCAGGUAACCUCCAGUGAUGGAGGUUCGCUGGAGCUCACAAAUGUCUCUCCUUGCGAGGACGAUUUCUGAAC